rnacentral:rRNA from 1 species
UAAGGAAUAUUGGUCAAUGGACGCAAGUCUGAACCAGCCAUGCCGCGUGAAGGAUGAAGGUCCUCUGGAUUGUAAACUUCUUUUAUCUGGGACGAAAACGGGAUUUUUAUCUCAAUUGACGGUACCAGAGGAAUAAGCACCGGCUAACUCCGUGCCAGCAGCCGCGGUAAUACGGAGGGUGCGAGCGUUAUCCGGAUUUACUGGGUUUAAAGGGUGCGUAGGUGGGCUUAUAAGUCAGUGGUGAAAUCUCCGAGCUUAACUUGGAAACUGCCGUUGAUACUAUAGGUCUUGAAUUAUCUGGAGGUAAGCGGAAUAUGUCAUGUAGCGGUGAAAUGCUUAGAUAUGACAUAGAACACCAAUUGCGAAGGCAGCUUACUACAUAUAAAUUGACGCUGAGGCACGAAAGCAUGGGGAUCAAACA